rnacentral:lncRNA from 1 species
UGGUGCUUCAUGAAGAUUCUAAUCAAGCUUCUCCUGCUAAAGCUCUUGGUAGAGCUCUCACGCAUGUAAGUUAACUAUUUGAUUAUCACUUACACUUCUUUUUCUUUCUCUAGAAAAGUUUUAUAUGUUUUUCUGCUUUUACUUUUAGAUAACUGAUAACACAAAAAUCAUUUGAGUUCAUUCAAGUAUGAUGAAUUUGUUGAUGCUAAUCACAUUUCUGAAAAGGAAUCUUCCUUCUCUAAAUGAAGUUGGAUAAUAUAGCUAGUCAGUGGUGUUUGACGCUGUCUUUAGAAGUUGUAAUUUAACAUGGAAUAAUAUUUUAUACACCACAUGAUAUUUGUAUGAUUAAAAUGAAAAGUUUAGAGAGAUAAUGUUGUGAAGUAUAUAAAGGAAAGAGCAGGAAAAAAGUAUUACUUUAGAGGGACGUGCUCUGAAUAAGGAUUGAAAGAUGCGCUGAGUAAGGAUUGAAAGAUCACCUUCCGACUUGUUUUGUCGGAUAUAAUGAGUGAAAGAGGUUAUGCUUUUAGUAUGAGUUAAUUACCUCCUAAAUUUGUGUGAAGUAUUUCAUUAGGCAUGCACUUUCUUGAUCUUAGACUAGAAGGGGGAAAAAGAGUCGGUGGCUAUAAGUUCACUUUUCCUAGUUCACUUAUUUAUAUCAUUUGAGAAUAAUUAAAUAUUUCGUUUCUGAAAUUAAUCAAUCAACUAUACCUGAAUCUACCCCAUAUUUUAUGGAUAGAGUGAAGUAAAAUGGGUAGAACAUGGAAAGCAGAAGCUUGUAUUCGGGUAGGGUGGCCAUAGUUGGGAAAAGAGAAGGAAAGAUAUUUGGUUUUUUUGGGGGGGGGGGGGAGGAAGGUAAAAAUUUUCAGAGUAGACGUCAUUGAGUUACAGUCAAUAACUCUGGAGUGUAAAAUAAAAUUUUGAAAAUAUUUUUGAGACAUGCUGCAAAUUAGAUAAGUUGACUUAAAGAAAUGCCUCCAAUGAAAAACUCAUCAAUUAGAUGACUCGACUUAAAAUUCCAUUUUAUGUUAACUUUUUUUUUGGUCUGUUUUAAAAAAAAUAAUUUAUUUUUAAAUUUAAAAAUAAUUUAGUUUAAACUUUUAAUUUUAUCCUUAAUAAAAAAAAUUUAUAAUCAUAUAAAUACAUACUUUGAACUUUUAUCUCCUAUCUGACUUAUUAGAAUCACAAAUUUUAAAAGCAGAGAGCGAGUAUGUGUUAAGAUACCUAAGUAUGCAUUUUCGGUGAAUAUGAUGUUGCUCUGAUGACAUAAUAGCAUAACCCGUUCUGCCUUUUGAGUCGUAGUUAUACUUUUGUAUGUAAGGUAGUUAUAAGUCUGUCGUUUUCGGUCUGCCUUUUUUCUCAAUAGAGGGUGUCAAAAACAAAAUAUGGCUCUGUUAGCAUGCAUGCAACUGCCACGCGUCAUAGCAUGAACGCAUAAGCUUACACGUAUUUGAGAUAGUCACGUGUCAAAUGACCUCGCUCUUCUCUCUACACGUAGUUGGAUACUCAGACACAACGUGAAAAAAUAAAAAUCAUGACAGGAUUUGACUCCUCUCCGUUGCCUUCAUUUUCCCAAGUUAUAGGAGUAACCUAUACCAUUCUAAAAUUAAUGGUCUAGAUUUAAUUAACUAAAAUAAGGCAUUAAUCAUAGUUGAGUAAUAAAUAUUCCAUAUAUAAUUUUCAGAAAUUUUGAUAUUCCCUCCUACAAACUCCAUUUCUGGCGGCCAAAAGUUAUCCCCAAAAGAAUUUACCAACAUGCAUGUCAAUCCUUUUAAAAAUUUAAGUUGCAAUCUAUCGUCACUACUAGAAAUCCGGUAAAAAUCGAUCAAAAAAAUCGACCAACGUUGGUUGGUAAUGGUCAAAAACCGGUCAAAACACGACCAUUUACAUGUGGACGGUAUUUUUGUGGCCAGAAAGGAAUACCGACCAAAGUUGGUCGGAAAUUACCGACCAACUUUUGUCGGUCAAUUAAAUUCAAAAAAAAAAAAUAUUGCAAAAAAAACCGAACCAAAGUUAGGUCGGUANNNNNNNNNNNNNNNNNNNNNNNNNNNNNNNNNNNNNNNNNNNNNNNNNNNNNNNNNNNNNNNNNNNNNNNNNNNNNNNNNNNNNNNNNNNNNNNNNNNNNNNNNNNNNNNNNNNNNNNNNNNNNNNNNNNNNNNNNNNNNNNNNNNNNNNNNNNNNNNNNNNNNNNNNNNNNNNCCGCAUUUUUUGCGCCAAAGAAAACCGACCAAAGUUGGUCGGUUUCGUCAAAAAAAAAUUAAAAAAAUAUUUUGAAAAACCGACCAACUUUGGUCGGUUUUUUGACCGACCAAAGUUGGUCGGUCGACCUUGAUCGGUUUUUGCCGAAUUUCUAGUAGUGCGUAGUAAAUUUACCCUUUCAUUCCACAAUUUUCUUUUCAUUAUUCUGGAUUUCACUAUCCUUUUAAAAAAAGUUGAAAUAAUUAUUUAUAAAUUCAAUCUAAUUUUAACCGAAAAAUUAAACUUUAUACGUAGCAGAACCAUGUGUUGGAGAGCUUUGAAUUAUUAUUGUUGUAUUACUUUCUCCUUUUCAUUGGUAGAUUUGUGGUCACAUCUCAAAAUUAACAUAUGGAUGUUUCUCAUUCAUUUGUACCAAUAAACCUUGGGAUAAAAUUUGAUUCAUUUAGACUUGCAUAUGAAUACUACGAAAGAAAACACUGGUAGAAUUGGUUGGAAAGAAAAUUACUACAAGAAACAAAGAAGGAAUCUUAGAUAAUGUGUAGUUAUUAUUGUGGGAUUGUAAAAGAUAUUAUUUGGAAAUAAAUAAAAGAAGGAAUUAAAUACUUUAAUUAUGGUUAGUGUUUUAUUUUAUUUAAUUAAAUUUUAUCCAUUAAUAAUUAAUCAUGACAAGCUUCCCCAAUCUAAGUAGGAACUUGGAGAAAUGGUGAGACUAGGAAAUGGAGGGGAGUUGGUGUGAUAGUACUACCAUUUAACUGUUAAACUAUUCAUUAACAAAUUAAGAUUCAGCACGUGCUAGAACUCUGAAUUCGAUUCUCACAUUAUCCUUAUUCUGCAAUUAUAUUUUAACUAUCUGAUACUAGUAAGAUAACAAUAAAGAUAAGGACAGAGCGUAGAGCUUUUUUCUUUUGAUCUACACAAAAAGCAAUAUGAAAUUAUGUGAAGAUGUUUUCUCUUUCUAUGACUCAUUGAGUGUAUAACAGAUUGUAAGACUUAAUAGUACUACCUAAUGUAACAAUUGUUGAUACGAAGGUCCACUUUUUUUAACAUUUAAUCUACAAUGUGCGAAGUAUUUUGAGGAAAAAGGAUAAGUCUGAAUAGAUGAGACAUUUUUGUCACUCAGCUGUAUUUGUUGUAGUAUAAUUUAUUGAAGUUAAGGGGGGUUUUGCAAUUUACUUGUUCUUAUUUUUUUCCGUUUUUUCUUUUUUUAUUACACAUACAUUAGGGAAGGGCGUUUAAGGCAGGGAAUAGAAGUCCCACCAACAAAAUGAAAGUUGAGUAGGGCUUCAAUGACGGGAAAAUGCAUGUUGUCAAGACAACCUACUGAACUAUCAUAAUUCUCUUUACUUAUUCUUAUUCAUCUAAGGCUAUUUCAGAUAUUGGCGUUGCUAAAUGAGAUUCCAGCUUCCUCGAGGAAGUACCAGUUUGCAAUGGGAAUGGCUGACAAGAUUGUAGAUGAGAACACCAGAUGCGGACACGUGGAAAUGCUCCAAGUCAAUCGUGCGGCCCUGGCUUCAGCAUUCGCGCGUACGUCAGGAUUUCUUUACGGCUCUCUUAAAAGCCCCCGCAUGUCGGAGGAUUCAGGAACGUGGCCCUCACGCAUUCUUCGAUCUCUACCUCUGGGUUCUUUUGUGGCUUCUUCGCUCAAAGGUCUGGGCACAUUUUUCCCAUGGGUCGGAACAGCCACGAGCCUUCUUCAAAACAAGAGACCAUCUGCUGUUCCGUGUGAGGAGAGGGUAAAUGACUUGGCGGCUGAGAAACACGCACAAGAACUGCUAUGGAUAACGACUAAGAUGGUGGGGUGUGGUGCUGUGGAUGAAGCUUUGGUGCAAUGGAGCUUUGCUUCUGGCUUGGCUUCUAUUUCUCUUUCCUCUAAUUCUAGGGUGCAAGGCUUCAUUGUCAAGAUCACAGGUAGAUAAUUAUUGUAUUAUUAUUGUUAUCAUUAUUAUCAAUACGAUGUUUUAAGAUAUUUGAAUUUUGACGUUGCAUUUACUUGUAGCAAUAUUAUUUGGAGAACUUAAGCUUAUGAAAAACGAAGUUCCAAGGCAAGUGAAGUUCAACAUACUAGUGCUGUGGCUUCCAUUAUUCUGCUAUGCAGACAACGGGCUUUCGUAUCCAGUAUUGACAGGAUUCGAGAAGGUUGAGAUGGAGAAGACAAUGGACGAAUUGAUCUCAUCGCUGCCCACAAUCGACCAAGAGGUAAUUCUCACCAACUGGCUGCAAGACUUCACGACAACGUCUUCGGACUGGCCAAAUCUCCAGAAAUCAUAUGACCUUUGGUGCCAGUCCACUCGGGAGCUCGUUGCAUGAGUUGUGCGAAGAAGAAGGAUCACACUGUGUCUUAAGUAAUAUAUCGUUGUAAAAGCCGAGCUUUUUUGCUUGACUGUUAUAUAGUUGGGUUUAUACGACCCAAUAGAAGUGCCAUAUGCACCUUGAGUUCGGCCGUUCCUUUUUCUUCCUUUUUAUUUUCCAAACUAUUUCCUUGGUUUAUAUAGCUUUCCUGUAUCUUUACCUUUUUCACAUCUUUAUUACUCCUUUCGUUUCAAUUUUUGUGAACGUAUUUGUUUGGGCACGGAAUUUAAGAAAAAAUAAAAACUUUUGAAAUUUGUGGUCCUAAACAAGUCAAAAAGGGGCCAGAGUAUUUGUGUGGUUAUAAAAGCUUAUCUAAAAUUGUAAGUUUAAGUAAAAUUAUUUUCAAAUUUAAAAAGGAAUCAUUCUUUUUGGAAGGACAAUAGAGGUUCACAUAAACUGAAACAGAGAGAAUAGUAGUAAUAAAUAUAAGCUACAUAUCCUACUUCUCUUAUUGUAAUUUGUGAUGAUCAACACUAUUAAGAGCUAAUGGAUUCUGAAUAGAUCAAAACACAUGCAUUACAGAUGUAUCGCUACAAAUUACAAGCGGAUUUUCCUAGGGAUUAUAUAGGAAAUUUUGCAGGUAAUGUAAUAUCUUGUGAAUUUUGCUAUGAAAAAAGGUAAUUAAUUAUUACCUUCAUAAGUAAUUAUUACCUGCGAAUUUUAAAAUUCUUAAGUACGUCACCUUGGAAUUUCGAAUUCUCAUAUAAAUUACUUGCAGAAUUUUUCGCAAGAAACACUAAUAAUUUGCAGGAAACUUGAUAAAAAUUCAUGAAAGAAAGAAGUUUUCUUACGGAUUCUUUGCAAGUAAUUUCCCAUGAACAACUUCUUGCAGAUUUUUCACAAUUGGAAAAAAAUAUGGAAAAAGUGAUUUAUUGUUUUAGUUAUUUUGUUUUCAAUUUAAUGUCCCCAUUAUUUCUUUUGGACUACAAUAUUUUUUCGAUUUAAUAUAACACCAACAUUUCCUCCAUAACCCAGCCACCGGGAAAGCAAACCUCAAUUUAAUUUCUUCAUAUUAAUUCUUUUAUAAGUACAAUAAUUUUUGGAUUUUAUAUAAUUAAAUUAACAACACACCCCAAUUAUCUCCUCCUUACUCACAACCCACCCCAUGGGAACAAGCGAACACUAGCCACAUCUUCAAUUCCAAACCCAGAAAUUCAGUUGCUAUAACGAUCCAACCGGUCGUUCCGAGCUCUAGCAUGUUGUUCGGCAGUUUCAGAUCUUAAAUAGCUUCACUUUGUAUAUUAUGAUUUGCACGUGUAGUCGGUUUUAAUUUUCGAGAAGUUCGGAAUUGAUUUAGAAGAAUAACUCUCAAUUCGGAAGUUUUAAGUUGGAAGAGUUGACCAAUGUUUGACUUUUGAGUAAACGACCUCGGAAUCAGGAUUUGAAGGUUCAUAUAGGUUCGUAAGGUGAUUUCGGACUAUGUCGUAUGUUCGGGUUGAGUAUUGGGUGGUUCGGGGGUGAUUCAGCGCUUAUUAUCGGAAGUUUGCAUUUUGAAGGUUUUGAAUUAGCUAAGUUUAACCUAGAGUGGACUUUAGCGUCAUCGAACUUUGGGAUAUGUUCCGGGACCUGAUAGGUUCAUUUAGUUGGUUGGAACUUGUGUGUGAAGAUUUGUCGUAGUCCGGAAUGUCUAAGUGUGAUUGGGACGCGUUCGGCAAAGUUUGAAGGUUUGAACCUUAAAAAAAGGAUUUUGAUCGUCGAUUCUUGGUUUUGAUGUUGUUCAUGGCGUUUCGAGCUUUGGUUGGAACUUGUAUGUGAAGUUUGGUCGUAUUCCGGAAUGUGUAAGUGUGAUUCGGACGCGUUCGGCGAAGUUUGAAGGUUUGAACGUUAAAAAAGGAUUUUGAUCGUCGAUUCUUGGUUUCAAUAUUAUUCAUGGCGUUUCAAGCUUUGGAUAAGUUUGGAUAAAGUAUUGGGACUGGCUUGUAUAAUUGGACGGGGACCCGGGGGCCUUGGGGGUGUUUCGGGGUGGUGUCAGACCAUGUUGGAGUGCUUUGGUACUGCUGGUUCUGGUUUUGUUCUUUGCGAACGUGGUGGGAGGCACGCGUUCGCGAUGAUGGAUUUAGGCUAGAGGCCAUUUGUGCUUUAAGUUUGUUGAGCCACGUUUGCGGAGGCUUGGUGCAGUAAUGCUUCGCGUUCGCGACAGCGAGAUCGCCUUCGCGAAGAAGAAGCUGGGACUGGAGGUUGGCCUUCGCGUUCACGAAGGGCCGACCGCGUUUGCGUAGGGCAGGCUAGGUAAGGCAUCGCGUUCGCGGACCCAAUCUCGCAUUCGCGAGGAGGAUUAUUGGGCAGCUGUAGAUUUGGCCUUCGCGAUCGCGAGGAAGCUUCUGCGAUUGCGAAGAGGAAGGGCCUGGGCAGAAUAUAAGUUAGCGAAUCGGGAAUUUGCUCAUUUCAACUCAUUUCUCUCUUGCUAAGGUGACUUUGGGCAAUUUGGAGAAGCCAUGUUCAUCAUCUAUUAUAAGGUAAGUGAUUUCCACGUGUUGUAAGUUAAAUACAUGGAUUAUGUAUGGAUUUAAACAUUGAAAUUGGUAGAAAUUAUGGGAUUUUGGAAGAAAAGCUAUAAAUGGUAUUUUUGAGUUUUGACCAUGAAUUGGACAUGGAAUUGGUAAUAAAUUAUAUAUUUGAGUUUGUGAUGCUAUGGGUAAUAUUUAUCUUCGAGAAUUUCGAAAACCGGGCGUGUGGGCCCGGGGGUUGAUCUUGUUGACUUUUCGUGUGGAUUUGGGAAUUUUUUCUAUUUGAUUAAAUUACGAGUCUUUGGGUAUAUUUUGAUUGGGUUGCACGUUCUUUGACUAGUUUUGGAUCGUUUGACAUUAAUUUGAGGUGUCAGAGAGGUGUUGGAACCGGUUAUUGAAUUUUGGAGCGAGGUAAGUAUUCUGUCUAACCUUGUAAGAGGAAAUUUACCACGUAGGUGCUAUUUUUGUUAUGUGCUACGUGUUAUGGGUGCUACACACGUAUGAGGUGACGAGUGUCCGUGCGUAUACUAGAACUCUUAAUUAUGUCCGAGUAGACUUAGACUCACACUAUGUUUCAAUUAUAUUGUUUGAGUUAUUCUUCCCUGUUUAAAUGCCUUAUUAUUUUAUCCCGAGACUGAACUUGCAUAGAGUAUCGAACUUUGCUAUUUUAGAUACUUGACGAGCUACUUGAUUAGUCAUAAAAAUUAUACUUCUUUUAUAGAUUUAUCCUGCGUUGUGCGUAUUCGUUCAAAAGUUUCUUGAAUUUCAUAACUCACACAUAUAUUCGUGAGUGGACCACUGACCCGUCAAAGUUUCAUAUUCUUAUGGGAUCGGGUUGAACGCCUUAGCAAUACUCUUAUGGGAUCGAGCUAAACACUUCAACAGUACUCUUAUGGGAUCGGGCAAUUUGCCCCGGCAGUAUCAUGUAAUAUAUUCUUAUGGGAUCGGUCCAUUCGCCUCGACAGAAUCGUGAGUAAUAUUCGAUAAGGACUUAGCGUACCUAUAAGUCUUUCUGACUUGAGAUGUGAUGUUUUAUUUGGGAUUGAUCAUUAUGUAUUUUAUUCGAGGUAGUAUCCGGCAUUUGAGAACUUAGUAUUUGCCCCUCUGUUGAGGAUCGUGCCAUACACAUACAUCUGCUUCGUUUCUUUUACCUAUUCUUCAUACCUGUCUACUUUUAUUGUACUUGAUUAUUGGACCACUAGUAAGUGUCUAGGUCGACCCCUCGUCACUACUUCUCGAGGUUAGGCUAGAUACUUAGUGGUUACGGAUUGAUUUACUUACUCAUACUACACUUCUACACUAAUUAUGCAGGUACUGAGACAUGUAUAUUUGGUGGUCACACAGGAGCGUAGGUGCAGCUGCUGAGGAGACUUUGUGGUGAGAUGCAUUCCAUAUUACGAUUCGCAGCACACGGAGUCCCCUUCCAAUUCAUUAUUGCAUUUUGUCUAGUUUCUAUUCUAGACAGUUAUUGUAGUAGUAUUGUAUAUUCUAGUAGAUGUUCAUGCACUUGUGACACCGGAUUUUAGGAAUUUAAAUUAUUAAUCUUGGAUGUAUUCUGUUACGACAUUUGGUAUUGCAUUUUGAUCAUGUUCUAAUAUUUUAUAAAAAUAAAGAAAUUUUACAUAAUUAUUUCACCAUUAUUUUAAAAUAUGUUAGGAACCAUCGAUAAUCGUGUUGAUUAAAUUAUUGGCUUGCCUAAUGGCUGCGUUGUGUGCAAUCACGGCCUAUGGUGGGAAAUGGGUCGUAAAAACUUGGUAUUAGAGCACUAGGUUCACUUAGGUCUCACGAGUCAUGAGCAAGUCUAGUAGAGUCUUGCGGAUUGGUACAAAGAUGUUUGUACUUAUCUUUGAGAGGCUAAAGGGCUAUUAAGAGAACUUCCCUUUCUUGGUUCCUUAUCGUGCGACUUGAUUUUGGUUGAAGCUUAUGUCUUCAGUUUCUUCCUACUCAUUCGUACACGAUGUCUAGCAUUAUAUCAGUUAGGCACCGACGAGUUGUAAAGAUGCUACAUAUGUGAUGCAAGAUAUUUUUCCCUACGUAUGUGGACGGACUACUAUCGUCGCCUUGUGGAGGGGUGUUAAGUCAUUUCAGUCAAUGUUGGUGUUGCCCACGAGUUAUGCGCUAUACACGGUGUAUUGUGAUGUUUCUCGCAUUGUUAUCGCGAAGUAUUGGUGUGAACGGUAGGGUGUUUACUUAUGCAUUGCGGCAGUGAAUACUUUAGGAUGAGGAUUAUUCGGUUCGUGACUGGAAGAUUUGGUAUUUAAUUCCAACGCAGAAGAGGAAGUUGGGCUAUGGAUGUUCAUUAUUUGGUUGACGGAGUAGCAAGAUUUGAUAUCUCUUAACUUAGUGGAAUUCUUGUUUGUAUUGUGGUGUCGUCGUCCUUGUUUGAACGAAUUAAGGCUCGUCAGUAUGAUGGUCUUCAUUUGUUUGCCUUUGGGGGUAUGGUGUUGCGAAGUGGUACCUAAGAAGUGAUUAUCGGAGAUGACGAUGUGUUGCGACUUUGGGGUCGAAUCGCUAUUUUUAUUGUGGAUGGUUCGUGGGAGAUGAUCCUUGAGGUGGCUUAUCUACUUAGGAAGUUCAAAUGUGAUGAAAAGAGUUUGCUUGUAAUGUAGAGGAACGUGAAUGCUUGAUUAUCAUUUUGGGCAAUAUGUUUGUCACACCCCUUUUUUUAACCCUUUAACCCUCUUAAAAUGAUAAAAAGUGGGUUUUAAGCUCAAAAGGGUUUUCAAUUGAAAGUGACAAGAGUUUGUGUUUCAAAAGUUUUUUUAGAGUCGCCACCUGACAUUUGGUUUCGGUGUGCCAGGUCACCAUUGUUUUAAAAAACAUUUCCUUCAAAACACAUUGACCGUAAAACUGACUGCACCAGAAGUUCUGAAUAAGGGAAUUCAUUUGACUCAUGGGGAAGGUAUUAAGCAUUCCCCAAGUCCCGUAACUAGUACGGUUGCACACUUGAUCAAAUUGGAUAUUAAGAAUACUCAGAUCGAGAUAGAAACAUACAAAUAAAAAUAAAGACACAAGAGACUCGAGGUUGUCCCCACCUAAAUAAGAGAAAAUAAAAUAAGAGAAAAAUACUAAAAGUCUAUACCAAAGCUUCCACGAUGAUGUCGUCCUUUGCUUCUAUUUACAUAUAUUGCUGGGCAUUCCCCUAAAUAAAAUAAUAUUUACAAAAAAAAAAAGCUCUUCAGGGCAUUCCUCUGAGUAUAAACUAAAGAGAACAACCUCUCACCUUGAAUAAAAAUAAAAUAAAAGACCUAAGGUUUGCCUACCCAAGUAUGGUAGGCCUAAACAUGUUACUAUCGAUGAGAGAUGAAACAAGAAUAACAAAAUCUUUCUUAAACUUAUACUCUAUCUCAUUAUUGAUCAAGCCUCAGGUCCAAUUUUAAACUGACAACUGCACGACCAACUUGAUUAUUUAGGAUCCAAUUUUGCUUUAGUUCAUUAUACUGAAACCUAUAGCCCAUAAACUGAUAUCAACUAAAGAAAUUCAAUCGACAACUCAAACAAUUAUUAUCUUAUCAAUGUAAUCUAGCUAAAUCAGUGACAAAUCAUGGACAACUAAAUAAUAAUUAACAACAAAUAAUGGGAUCAAAGCAGAGUAUUUAAGAGAAGAAUGGACCUCAAGGUGCGACACCCUUUCAAUUACAGCAACGGUAGUACGAACAGGAGCCGGGAUCGGAAAAGCGAACCACGAUCGGAACCUCUGAUCGAAAUUGCUUCUGGUGAUCUCGAACUCGACUUUGGAGCUGCUGUUUUUGUGCGAAGAGGGAGCUGUUUUUUUUGUUCUUCGGCUGGGUUUGGAGCGGGUUUUGACUGGUUUUCGGAGGUGUUUUGCUGCUAGUUCUGGAACAGAUUUGAGGUCAUUUUUGGAGCUGUUCGCAGCUGUUUACAAGGCUGAUUUUUGGGUGAAGUUGGGUGUAUUUAAUGGAGCCUUUGUAGUAUUUUGAUGGCUGGUUUCCAUGGUGAGAACGUGAGAGAGUAGAAGAUGGUCUGCGGCGGCAAAGGAUUUUUCCGCUGCUAAUCUCGCCGCCUCCCCCUCUGUUUUUUUUUCUAAAAUCUCCCUUUUUAUCCCUUCCAAUUUUGGACUCUCUCUUAUCACGUGAACUUGGUGCCCAAGAAAGGAUUUUUCUAGAAUGAGCAGAUGUGAAUUGUAGUUUGUUAUAGGGAAUCAUGU